rnacentral:rRNA from 1 species
GAUGAACGCUGGCAGCGUGCUUAACACAUGCAAGUCGAACGGAAAGGCUCCUGCCUGCAGGGGUACUCGAGUGGCGAACGGGUGAGUAACACGUGGGUGAUCUGCCCUGUACUUCGGGAUAAGCUUGGGAAACUGGGUCUAAUACCGGAUAUGACAAUCUCUUGGAUGGGGUUGUGGAAAGCUUUUGCGGUAUGGGAUGAGCUCGCGGCCUAUCAGCUUGUUGGUGGGGUAAUGGCCUACCAAGGCGUCGACGGGUAGCCGGCCUGAGAGGGUGUACGGCCACAUUGGGACUGAGAUACGGCCCAGACUCCUACGGGAGGCAGCAGUGGGGAAUAUUGCACAAUGGGCGCAAGCCUGAUGCAGCGACGCCGCGUGGGGGAUGACGGCCUUCGGGUUGUAAACUCCUUUCGCAACCGACGAAGCUUUUGUGACGGUAGGUUGAGAAGAAGCACCGGCUAACUACGUG